AAACAUUAUUAAAAUGGAGCUAUCUGUAACAGUGCUUAAAUAUCAAGAUAAUGUACAUAGCUAGAUUUGAGUUGUGCAAAAUAUGUAUACACAGGCCGCUAGAGGGUGAUAAGUCACUUAGUUAGGUAUCACCAAACCUAAGUCAAUAUUUAAGCCGUGAUCUGUCAGUCAGACAUUAUUUUCAGAGUGCAUAACCUAGAACGGAGCCUGUCUGUUGAGGGGAAAGGAGGAAAUAACUGCCUUUCGAAACAUCUGAUGCAUGCCGAACUAAGGAAUGAACCCUAAAGAAAUAGGAUCGGCCUCUAUCGUUCGUCGUACCUGCUGUAUCUGGAGUUCUCGGUCCAGCAGCUUCUGUCCAGUUAGUUUCAUUGGGAACUCAGUCCGGGGAAGGAGCACUGUGUCCCGAUACAAUCCCUGAGCAGGGACUGCCUCUGCUGGCUGAGCGCUGCCUUCUCCUGAACUCACACCGCGGCUGGAGCUGAAGGAGAGAGCACGGUGGAGGAGGCCGCCUCCCCGGUGUGACCUCCUUCCCCAUCUCGCUAGCGUCUGGCUUACUGCCGAAACCCGGCACAGCAGCAUGGAGAGGCGAAGUAGCUCUGUGGCCAA